GGGUCUUUAGCUCAGUCGGUAGAGCACCUCACUUUUAAUGAGGGGGUCGAUGGUUCGAGCCCAUCAAGACCCA
rnacentral:tRNA from 1 species